CUCAGUUCGGAUUGGAGGCUGAAACCCGCCUCCAUGAAGUUGGAUUCGCUAGUAAUCGCGCAUCAGCCAUGGCGCGGUGAAUACGUUCCCGGGCCCUUGUACACACCGCCCGUCAAGCCAUGGGAGCCGGGGGUGCCUGAAGUUCGUGACCGUAAGGAGCGACCUAGGGCAAAACUGGUGACCGGGGCUAAGUCGUAACAAGGUACC
rnacentral:rRNA from 1 species